GACGAACGCUGGCGGCGUGCUUAACACAUGCAAGUCGAACGGAAAGGCCCAGCUUGCUGGGUGCUCGAGUGGCGAACGGGUGAGUAACACGUGGGUGAUCUGCCCCUAACUUCGGGAUAAGCUUGGGAAACUGGGUCUAAUACCGGAUAGGACAAUCGUUUAGUGUCGGUUGUGGAAAGUUUUUUCGGUUAGGGAUGAGCCCGCGGCCUACCAGCUUGUUGGUGGGGUAAUGGCCUACCAAGGCGUCGACGGGUAGCCGGCCUGAGAGGGUGGACGGCCACAUUGGGACUGAGAUACGGCCCAGACUCCUACGGGAGGCAGCAGUGGGGAAUAUUGCACAAUGGGCGCAAGCCUGAUGCAGCGACGCCGCGUGGGGGAUGACGGCCUUCGGGUUGUAAACCUCUUUCGACAGGGACGAAGCUUUGGUGACGGUACCUGUAUAAGAAGCACCGGCUAACUACGUG
rnacentral:rRNA from 1 species